GAGUUUGAUCCUGGCUCAGGAUGAACGCUGGCGGCGUGCCUAAUACAUGCAAGUCGAACGCUUUGUGGUUCAACUGAUUUGAAGAGCUUGCUCAGAUAUGACGAUGGACAUUGCAAAGAGUGGCGAACGGGUGAGUAACACGUGGGAAACCUACCUCUUAGCAGGGGAUAACAUUUGGAAACAGAUGCUAAUACCGUAUAACAAUGACAACCGCAUGGUUGUUAUUUGAAAGAUGGUUCUGCUAUCACUAAGAGAUGGUCCCGCGGUGCAUUAGCUAGUUGGUAAGGUAAUGGCUUACCAAGGCGAUGAUGCAUAGCCGAGUUGAGAGACUGAUCGGCCACAAUGGGACUGAGACACGGCCCAUACUCCUACGGGAGGCAGCAGUA
rnacentral:rRNA from 1 species